UCUAAUGUGGCAGAAUAGUGCAAUGGAUUUAAGCUCCAUAAAUAAAGUAUAUAUUUAUUACUUUUUUUAGAA
rnacentral:tRNA from 1 species